AGUGCAGAGCCUGAUUAAAGGAUUAUCGUGAUAGGAUAAAAUAUGUAAGUUAAACUACCUACACUA
rnacentral:tRNA from 1 species